UGGAGAAAGAAGGAGCAGUCAGGAAUGUGCAAAGAAGAGCACUAAACCAACAGCCACCAGAGAAAUGGAAAAUAGCAUUUAUCUCGAUGGGAUAAAAGUGAAUAUUUGCACAAAUUAUUUUUUUUGCUGGGGGGGGCAGGGAAUAAGGUUCUACUCAACCAAAUGUAGUAAUUUCUGCUGAAAAACUGGAGCUGGGGUUUGUUCGCUGGUGUUUCCCAUUGUUCUUGCCCUGAGUGUACAUUUACCUUAAGAGCAUGAAGAUGAGUCACCAUAUACAAAUGUAGCCCAAAGGAGACCAGGUUGUCUGUAAUAUUUAGCUGCUGAGAGGAAAAGCAAACUAUAAUGUUAAAAUAAAUAUUCAUUUUGGGCUUUUCUUGUCAUUUUACAACUAGUUAUUUUGCAUUGAAAGCAUUUUGUACCGUUUUUGUUUCAAGUGCUGAGUUUGUGUAAAAUUUAUGGUUAAUACGAGCCUUUCUACCAGAGAAAUUAAAACCAAAAUAUCUCCUUAACUUCAGGACUACAUCAGAAACGCAAUAAGCACACCAAUAAAUCAGAGGGGGGAAUUCUUUGGUAUUCAUUGCAGAAACAGCUCCAGGACUGGGUGAAGGGCCUUAUUCCAUAAAAUCAUCACAAGGCAGCAACAAUAAAAAUACUCUGCACUGCAAAAUGAGUGUUUUCCAUCCUGCAUUUAUUGUAAUAUUACCGUGGAGCAAUCAGGCUCCCACUGAAUCCAUCUGCAGUACAUUUGGAUGUUCAUAAACAUAUUUUUCACCACCAUUACACUCAAUAUCAAUACGGGAAGUUUCAAUUUGCAAGCCUAAAAUGAUUUCUUUAUCUGUUCUCAAGCUGUGCCGUCGGAAUGAAUCCCGGUGAUCUAUGGCUACAAUUACUCAAUACUGGAUUAAGUGCAGCUACAUUAUGCAAAUGGUUACUGUGAUUAGGAAACUGCCUGCAGGCUAAUGUGCUGCCAAAGAACACCACGCCAUUUUAGAAGAUCUUGUUCGCUCUCUACAAAUUCAGAUGUGAAUCACCAUUUUUGUUUGUAACUAAAUGCGUAUCGCAUGAAAAUGUAAGUAUUACAGACGCUGAUAAAUUCAUAUGUAAUAUCCGCCCCUCCCCUUCCAAAAACGACUACCGCAGUUUCACUGCCCUACUGCCUUCCUGGUUCAGAAUUAUGGUUUCGCUGCUGGAUCUGAAGAGGUGGCAGCCUUCUUGGUGGAGGCCCUGAACUGACGCCAGCCAUGAAGACGGGCCAUGGGGAGCCUUGCUUAAGCAACAGGUUCUGCAUGAGUUCUGUGGAUUCCUAUAUCCUUUGUCAUUCUUAUGGUCCCAACUGCUGUUUUGUCCCAGAACUCCUGGUCAUAGCUGUCAACUGUCCCUUAUUUGGUGGGAAACUCCCUUAUCCCAGCGCCGUGUCCUGCUGCUGUCCCUUAUUGAUGAUGUCCCUUAAAUUUCCCGGGUUUCAUGCUCGCCCGGCUCGGGAGGGAAGCAGCGGCUCGGGGUCCUCCGCCACGAGAGAGAGCACCGCGUCUCUGUCUCUCCCUUUUUCCCCUCAGGGGCACGUCGUGGGUGGGCAGGCAGCCCCUCUCUUGCGAGACUUCUGCCGCACUGCCAGGGGAAGCCGGAGGCGGCAGCGGCGGCUGAGGAGUAAGCCUGAGGGAGGAGGAAGAGGAGGGGAUAGGGAGGGACGCAGAAGGGCGGCGCUUCAGCGGCCACCGCAGUGCCGCAACUGCCUCAUGCUGGGCUCGUGGGCGGCGUGGGCAAGAGUCCCUAUCCCUCCCUCCCUCCCUCCCUCUCUCUCUCUCAGGCGGGGGUCGAUCGAACUCCUCACGCCAGGACGACGGCAGCCCCGACGUGCUGCUUAGCAUCCCCUCCAACCAGUGCAGCAUCUUAAUGUAGUGAUUUCCCCCUCUGCAUCCCUUUCAUAACUCUAUUUUUAUAAAUCAUUUGUCCAUCCAUAAUUCAAAUUUUUACUACAAGUUUUCUGUCAAUCCUACCAAUGUAUGUAACUCUUUACAAAAGCUUUUCAAAUAAAUUAUAAACUUUCUCCAUUCUUUAUUAAAGAGGUCCUCUUCCUGGUUUCUAAUUCUGCCUGUAAGCUUUGCCAUCUCGACGUCGUUCAUCAGUUUUGUCUGCCACUCUUCUUUGGUCGGAGUUGUAGACCCUUAGGCUCAUCUAGUCCAACCCCCUGCAAAACACAGUCAGUGGCAGCCAAAGCAGCACGGCUCCAUCAGUGGCAGAUUUCUGUAUAAGCUAAGCCAAAAUCCCUUAUUUUGGCUGCUGAGCCCUUAUUUUCGAGGCUGCUGGUCCCUUAUUUUCAAAUCUAUAAGUUGACAGCUAUGCUCCUGGUUCCAAGCUUCUAGUUCCCAGCUCAAGGUUUUGCUUCUAGCAUUUAAAGUCCCAAACAACAUGGGAACAGCCAGGGUGAGGCAGCCACCUCGGGCAAGUGAAGCAAAGAGAGAGUUGCGCUUCCCCCUGUGUGUGAUAAAACAAGCGGCACAUGCCUUUAUUUCCUGACAGAGGCAGACUUUGCUACUAUGGCUCCUCAGCCAGGCCAAAAUUUGGUGCCCCCUUCCAGCCCUUGCUCUGUGCUGGCCUGGACAAGUGCUUACAGGGUGGCAUGUGGGCGCCCUUUCUGCUUGGUGCCCAGUGAGGGGAAACUGGUCGUGCUGCCCUAAAAUUGCCUCUGUUACUGAUGAGAGAAGUCCAACACAUGCUGAAAUUUGAAAUGGCAAGAUCUCAGUGAGUUGGCUUUUCCUUUCACUCACUUCUAAAAGAAGCUUGGUAUUCUCGCUGCCUUAAAUGAGAAAAUGAGGUUAUUCACUCCCAUUUAUUCCCUAGGACUGGGUGAGUUAGGAGUCCUUGGGCAGAUCUCCCUAGUAAACACAGAUCCCGGAUGCCAAGACUGCAAGUGACUUUUAAACAGGCAGUUUACUGCUCCUUAACACAGCUUCAAUAAUCCUUUCUAUUUUCUUCCAGCAUUUAAACAGAGCCUACUCUGCUGAGGAUUUUUACCGAGGACCAGAACAGGGUUCCAUCCUCUAGGUGGCCAGUGCUCAGAAGUUUUUCUCAGAUGCUUAAUUUUUUAUAUGAUUACAAAUUCUGUUGCUGAGGAAAGUUACUUCCUUCUGCCCUGCAAAAUUAUCUGACAAUUUCUAUUCCCCCCCCCAAAAAAUUCUUGGUUUUCACAAUAUUAUAAACAAACAAACAAACAAACAAACAAACAAGACAAACAAACAUAAAUCAUAGCCUUAUUGAAAAUUACACUUAUUAACUUUGUUAAGUGACUUCCUCGCUUCCGCUUGGCUGAAUUUCAUUGCAUGUCCCUUUUAACGGUUUUCCAAAUCCCAAUUCUUAUGAAAUUUAACAUAAAAACUUAAAACAUCCUUAAAUCUUCACCUUAUGGAAUUAAACAUAUUAAUUCAUCACUUAACAUAAAUAAAAUCCUAAGCCAAUUAAGUAUGUGCAAGCUAUUUUCAGUUAAAUUAACUUAACAAAUUUAACUAGAUAAUCAUUAAAUUUAUUCCACUCUUCCUGAUACUCCUCCUCCUUCUGGUCGCGGACUCUUCCGGUUAGGUCUGACAAUUUCUAAGGACCUGGUUGUGAAUGUCCAAGUGCAUACGUACCAGAAAACAGAGACUUGUUUACAAUUUCCUUUCUCCUUUUAUAUUUUUGGUUUUCAUUGUUCUUCUUUAUUUCACACCCCAUGUGUGGCAUAUAAUGAUGGACGGCAGUGAAACUUUCCUAAGCAAUUUUUUCAUGUGACUCUUACAUUGUAUCAGCUGGAGAACACAAGUCCAUAGGAAGCAAAAUUUUAGUUUAACUUUGCAUAUGCCCAAGAUUAAUCUACAAAUUUGACCCCUCAAUUGGCAUCAGAGCUACAGCUAGCAUUAUACAUAUGUAUUACAAAUGAAAGUCAGAUUGAUUGGUGAACAAACAGCAGAUUUAUGUUGUAUAAGUCUUAUCAGUAUGCAUUUACUUGACAUUGGUAGCAGUGAACAAAACACAGUGUAGGUUAGGCACUUAAAUAUAAAAACUCCAAAAUUUAGCUGCAUUUAGUUCAGUUCCCACCAAAAGACUUCAUUUUUGAAAAUGUAGGUGGUUAAUUUCAGGCAUCUUGAUGUUUAGAGAAAAAGGCUACAUUUGUAUUUUGCGCAUGAGCAGAAGAAUAUCCAUGUAGCAGCAAAACCGGAUACCUUCAUCUGCCUCAGCUGCAGCAAAACAUGUCUGCCCUCUGGUAGCACAAGGAUGGAAGACUGAAGAAACCCCAACUAAAGAAUCAUGGCAAGAAAAAUGGAUGGACUAUGCAGAACUGGCAAAACUGACACAUAAGCUACGGGACAAGGAUAACUGUGACUUUAAGGACGAAUGGGAACCCUUUACAAAGUAUCUGAAGAUGCAACAAAGUGAACUGGACUCCUUGGCAGGUUUUGAAUAAACAUUCACAAACUUUUUAUUGAUAAUAAUCAGCUAAAUAGUUUGAGGAUCUAUACAACUUUGUAACAUGCAGAAAACAGCAGUCUCAGAGAAACCAAAGACUGGAACUGAGGGAAGGCGGGGGGUGGGGGCAGGUGGGUUUUGUGGGGGGGGGAGGGAGGGAGGAAAAAUGGGGGGGGGGCAAGGAUGAUAUGUUUUUGGAUAAUAUGUCUUGUUUUAAUUUUGAAUAUAUUUUUUAAAAAAACCAAAACAUGUCUGCCCUCCAUUGGUGUGCAGGCGCUGUGACUCUCCAACGGAUUGACCUCACCCCUGAAGGCAAACUCUUACAUUGUCUCCCAAGACAGACACAUGCCAACAAUUGAGCCUGUGUCAGGUCAGUGGUGUUCCUCCAAAGCAGGCCAAAUGAAUAAUUGGCUUUACUGUUUGUAUUAUGAUGUAGCAAGAUUCGAUUUGAUUU